AUGAUUUUUGGAUUUUGGACAAUAACAAAGAACCGAAUUUUGGAUUUCACAAUAUUUUAUUGGUGGGGGGGGAAGAAAGGGCUGGUGUUCUAGUUUAUUUUUUUUUAAUCUAAAAAUCCUUUUUUUUUUCUAUUUAGUAACAGUAUAAUAUAUAAUCAGGUUUUCAAUCGUAUAUACAAAAUUAUAAGUUUGAUUUUGAAGAAAAAAAUAAU